UACGGGGGGGCAAGCGUUGUUCGGAAUUACUGGGCGUAAAGGCUCGUAGGCGGCCAACUAAGUCGGAUGUGAAAUCCCCAGGCUUAACCUGGGAACUGCAUCCGAUACUGGAUGGCUUGAAUCCGGGAGAGGGAUGCAGAAUUCCAGGUGUACGCGGUGGAAUGCGUAGAGAUCCGGAAGAACACCGGUGGCGAAGGCGGCCCGCUGGGCAGUGACGUGACGCUGAGGCGCGGACAGCGUGGGGAGCAAACAGGA
rnacentral:rRNA from 1 species